AAAAAUACGAGCCCCGAACGGAGGUAGGAGCCUGUUUGGUCCAGGGGAGCUUCCCAAAGACGAUCAGCUGGUGUGAGCUGCCCUGCACUGCUCCGAGCCGCGGCAGCAGCGCCCGAGCCGCAGCAUCCCGAGCUGGGCUGGGGAUGAGGCAGCGCAGGUACCUCGGGUACCACCCCGCAAACAUCCCUGCCCUGCCCUCCUCUGUGACAGGAGUGACAGUCUGAGUGAAAGGAAGGCACCUCCGAGGUGAUUACGACAGAGUAAAAACUCCUUCAUCUCUGCUGCUGCAGCGUCACCUCGCUACAAAAAGUCCAGUGCUCUUGAGGAACAAGAAACCACCCAAGCUUAACCCACCAAAAAGAAAGGUUACUGAGUCUCUGCUGAAACCUCAAGGAGGAGAGCCUGUCCCCAGCUGGAGAAGCAGCAGGGAGGAGGAAAUCUGGAAAAUGGCACACUCUGAACCAGGGCAGAGUGUGCAUUUUCCCACUUUGCUGAAUUCCUGCAGGGAGAGAUGCAAAACCCAGCUGGAUGUGAGGGAACCAUCAGCACGAGCUCCUGAGUGUAUGGUGGAAGAUUAAAGCCAUUCUAAAUGAAAGAAGAGUGUGUAACAGGGUACAAGAUUUCUAAAUAGGUGGCACAUGUCAGCAGGCAUUACAAGAGUG
rnacentral:lncRNA from 1 species